GUCUGCAACAGAUGGGGAGUGGAGAUUCAUUUCUAUAACCACCUUCCAAUAUCCGUCUUAUGUCAAUAUGCAGGCGAGUGGUUCAGUGACCCUUCCACAUUCACACAGCAACAUGGAUGCUACCUGACUGAGGAUCCUGAGUCUUGAGCCCAACUGGGCCUGUCUGGCACUUCCAGAGUGAAAAAAUCCAAGAAUUAGUUUUACAAAACUUGCAGGGGCACCUGAAUGGCUCAGUGGUUGAGCAUCUGCCUUUGGCUCAGAUCGUGAUCCUGGGGUCCUGGGAUCAGGUCUCACAUCAGGCUCCCUGCAUGGAGCCUGCUUCUCCC